GAGACCCUUGAGAGUUCCCUUUAGAAGCAAAGAGGUUUCUCAGUGGGAUCAUUUCCACCUCUGGUCCAUCUGACUUCACAUGGGAGGAAAAGCCAGAAAUGUCCCCCUAAGCUAGAAGAGGGGAAAAAGAAAAUGCACUUAGGAACUGCCGAUGAUAGGGAAGAGAGCAGGGGGCAACGUGUCCAGAUCUUGCAAGAGACACUCAGGCAGCAUUCCAGGCUCAGCCUGAACUUUCGACCCCAUUGUCUACUCUAAUUACUGGAACCAGCAGGAUUAAUUCCUCGACCUACUUUCCAGUUUUUUUUUGGUUUUUUUUUUUUCUGCCACAGAGCUAUAAGGCUGCACUGGGCUUCUCUCUGUCAUUUGAAUGCAACAGUGGGGUUACAUGCCAGUAUUAUGGAUUUUUCCCAUUUCCUCUGUCUCCAGUAUGCCUUGGCACAGCACUUUUACUGAGUCUGUCUCUGUCUAAGACAUUGAUGCUUUGUUCACCAUGAAUUUUUGGCAUUAAUUUUUAUUUUUUAAAAUAUUAUAAUAAAAUACUACUUAUCUUGAUACUGAGCCUUUUGGAACUCCCUUAAAUAUACUAAAAAAUCAUUGAAUUGGACCUUUUCAAGAGAAAUUUAUGGUAUAUAAAUUAUACCUCUAUAAAGCUGUUUAAAACUUUAUUUGUGGAUAUGAAAAUUUGAAUUUUGUGUCAUUUUCAUGUAUUACAAAAAGACAGCAAAUCUGUUACCUGUUUUUAAAAAUUUCUGAGACAGGUCAUGCCCUGUUGCCCAGGCUGGAGUGCAGUGGUGGCAUUACAGGCGUGAGCCACCACACUCUGCCUGCUUGCAUGU
rnacentral:lncRNA from 1 species